rnacentral:lncRNA from 1 species
GCAUGUUUCCUCACAAUAUUGUUUUGAACAUUAGUUUUAGGACUGAGCAUUCUACUCAAUGCCUUCUCAAUGAGCACUGAUGAAGAUUUCAUAAAAAGUGCAACACAGUGGCUUGGACAUUUCAAAAGGAGGCUAAUAAUUAGACCUGAGCCCUAGGACCAUGCCUCAGGACUACCUGGCUUGAUGACUCCUUGCUGUCCCCAGUCCACCUGGCCGUGCUGCUGCUUCAGUUCCAACUGUUCUGCCUGCGGCUAUGGAACCCUGACCUGUUCACCGGACGUGCUACCUGUCCCAGACCUGCUGUUUUCAACAGCAGGAGAGGUAGAGAUACUCUCAAAGAUCGGUUAUGAAAAAGCCAACUGACACUUACUCUUGUGUUACUGACUUGUUGCACCCUCGACAACUACUAUGAUUAUUAUUAUUUGACCAUGCUGGUCAUUUAUGAACAUUUGAACAUCUUGGCCAUGUGCUGUUAUAAUCUCCACCCCGCACAGCCAGAAGAGGACUGGCCACCUCUCAUAGCCUGGUUCCUCUCUAGGUUUCUUCGUAGGUUUUGGCCUUUCUAGGGAGUUUUUCCUAGCCACCGUGCUUCUACACCUGCAUUGCUUGCUGUUUGGGGUUUUAGGCUGGGUUUCUGUACAGCACUUUGAGAUAUCAGCUGAUGUAAGAAGGGCUAUAUAAAUACAUUUGAUUUGAUGUAUGCUCUUACCUUUUAAAGAGGUUAAUUUUAAGCGCACCUCAUGUAUUGGAAAGAUCCAUGUCUGGUAAAGUCAAAGAGCACCUAGGAAUGA